rnacentral:lncRNA from 1 species
AGAAAUCUCUUAAAAAAAGCUCUCCCCUUCCCAGCUUUCCGGCCAAGGCCCGAUCAUCGGCUGGUCAUCAGCCACCGCGCCGGCCGCCGAUCUCCGACGCUGGCACCGCCGUCUGUAGUUGCCGGAAAAGGGGAAAAUACCCUAUUUGGCCCUUUAGACUCCCCUAAGCCCAAAUCUGGGUCUAAAUCCGUCAAAGAAUCAACUGAAAAUGCAAAAAAAGUCCCGGAACCUUUCGGUUUCUUGCCACCGAACCUCGGGGGUGGAUCCCUCAACCGUCCACGGCAGUUUUGACUCGAACGAAGGUAGUUUCUUUCCUUUUUAUUCGUAUAUUAUUCGUUUAUAAAAAUAUAUUAUAUAAAAAACAAUAAAAAAUAAAUAAAUAUGGUAAAUAUCAACCUUUUCGAUCGAUUUGCUCUCUGUAUUGGAACUCUAUUUUUUGCUAAAAAUAAUUACCUUUUUCUCUUAUUGAUUUUCCAAUCCUGGUUACAGUGUAUUCGAUGGCCUUUUAUAGCCAUAAUAAUAAUAAUAAAGAAAGAAAGAAAUCUGUUGAUAUCUUUGAUUUGCAAAUCCUUGAUUUUUCUUUCCAUAUGCUGUUAGUUUCUUUCUUGAUACGCAGGUAUGAAGAUCGGGAAUGAUUCGGUGGGCAUGGUUGCGGCGCAAGUGUUUCCUUAGAAACCUUAGGGUUUCUGUAAAUGUCUUGGGCCAUUGUAAUUUGGGCCACUAUUCUUGUAUUUUGGGUUUGGGUUUUGGGCCCAAUUUAUUGUAAAAGGACUGUUUAUUUGCCUCAUGUAGGCCGGGCAAAAAUUAGGCAUUACACUCAUGUUGUUUUCAUGGACUGAUAAACCGAAUCUUUUAAUUGGACUUGGAUCAGUUUAUUGUGGUAUUUAUAGUUGAUAUAUUAGUGUACUCUAAAGUUAGCAG